UACGAAGGGGGCUAGCGUUGCUCGGAAUCACUGGGCGUAAAGGGUGCGUAGGCGGGUCGUUAAGUCAGGGGUGAAAUCCUGGAGCUCAACUCCAGAACUGCCCUUGAUACUGGCGAUCUCGAGUUCGGGAGAGGUGAGUGGAACUGCGAGUGUAGAGGUGAAAUUCGUAGAUAUUCGCAAGAACACCAGUGGCGAAGGCGGCUCACUGGCCCGAUACUGACGCUGAGGUGCGAAAGCGUGGGGAGCAAACAGG
rnacentral:rRNA from 1 species